AGAGCUUUCAAAACCUGUCCCGCGCUGCAGUCUUUUGUGUCGGGACAUGCGGGAGGGACCUCUAGUUCCCAAUGAAUUUGUCAGAGUUGUGCAUAAUACAAUGUGUUCUUGAUUUUUCCAGGACGAUAUGAUCUCAGUAUGCCUGAGAUGAAAUGCGAGGCAUGCAAAACCACAUGGAGCCCUGGAGUGGAUGACUUAGUCCGUAAUGACUACUGGCCUGCUACCCUUCACUUUUCCACAGUGUACUCUACAGAUGUGUUUUAUUCAUAUGAAGAGUUGAAGAUGGCAGCACCAGGACUGUCAUGCCAAGCAUUUUUAAGAAUGCUUGAUCAACGAACUCUCCGCUUUGGCCGUAUUGGGAAGAUCACAGCAGACAGCUUCAGAAAAAGUUUUUUGGAGUGGGAGGCUGUUAGAUUUGAGGUGGAUAAGAUCUGCAGGGAGGAGCAUUUUGUCUGCCCUGCAUGCACCCCAGACAUGCUUGCUGUUUCUGUGGAUGGAAAUCGCAAGCACUACCGCUUUAAGAAUGCAGCAAGAUCUGAAGAAAAAGCCUUAUUUGAUGGCAUCUUCAUUGCAAAAGAUGAUGAAGUAGAGAGAUUUGUGGAUUACAUUCAUUCUACCACCAACCAUGUCUCUGGAAGAGGUGUCUGUGGAGGGGAGUGGUCAGCUGCAAGGGAAACGUCUCAGAAAUCCUCAAGUAAAAUUGAUGAGGAGGGACUUGAGCUUGCAGUCUGUCGACAUGGAGUUUUUCUCACCGCUCUCAACAUGUUCAGGGGAGAAAUAUAUGCUUAUCCCCUCUACCUGCAGAACAAGCUGGCAAAUACGCCAAUAAGCUUUUUUGCCAUGGAUGUAACCUGCAAGUACUGGCCUUACCUCAACAAAGUCACAAAAAGCUGCCCGGAGCUCCAGCACCUUCUGAGCAUGAAACCAUUCCUCUCAGUGUUUCAUGCCAAAGCCCAUGAUUUUAAAUGCGAGGUAAGAAAACAUUACAAUGUCAUUGACUGUCCCUAAACACCUGCAAAGGAAUGUUGGCAGCUUUUAAGUAUUUUCUUCAAUAGGUUAAAUGGAGUGGAGCUUACCAGCAAGGGGCCGGAUUGACACUUGGCGAGGAGGUUGAGCAGUGUAACGCCUUCCUCUCUAGGAUUGCUGUGACCACGAAGCACAUGUCCAAAGCAGGUAAGGUAACCACACACUGCACUAGACUGAAAGUGUUACAAGAAAAUUGUAGCCAGUGAGGGACAUGUGGUGUU
ensembl:lncRNA